rnacentral:rRNA from 1 species
GACGAACGCUGGCGGCGUGCUUAACACAUGCAAGUCGAACGGAAAGGCCCUGCUUUUGUGGGGUGCUCGAGUGGCGAACGGGUGAGUAACACGUGAGUAACCUGCCCUUGUCUUUGGGAUAACUUCAGGAAACUGGGGCUAAUACCGGAUAGGAGCUCCUGCUGCAUGGUGGGGGUUGGAAAGUUUCGGCGGUUGGGGAUGGACUCGCGGCUUAUCAGCUUGUUGGUGGGGUAGUGGCUUACCAAGGCUUUGACGGGUAGCCGGCCUGAGAGGGUGACCGGCCACAUUGGGACUGAGAUACGGCCCAGACUCCUACGGGAGGCAGCAGUGGGGAAUAUUGCACAAUGGGCGGAAGCCUGAUGCAGCAACGCCGCGUGCGGGAUGACGGCCUUUGGGUUGUAAACCGCUUUCGCCUGUGACGAAGCGUGAGUGACGGUAAUGGGUAAAGAAGCACCGGCUAACUACGUG